GAUUCCCUACGGGAGGCAGCAGUGGGGAAUAUUGCACAAUGGGGGAAACCCUGAUGCAGCAACGCCGCGUGAAGGAAGACGGUUUUCGGAUUGUAAACUUCUGUUCUUAGUGAAGAAUAAUGACGGUAGCUAAGGAGCAAGCCACGGCUAACUACGUGCCAGCAGCCGCGGUAAUACGGAGGAUGCGAGCGUUAUCCGGAUUUAUUGGGUUUAAAGGGUGCGCAGGCGGCCUGUUAAGUCAGCGGUAAAAGCCCGGGGCUCAACCCCGGCGAGCCGUUGAAACUGGCGGGCUGGAGUUGGAGAGA
rnacentral:rRNA from 1 species